UACGGGGGGGACAAGCGUUGUUCGGAAUUACUGGGCGUAAAGGGCUCGUAGGUGGCCAACUAAGUCAGACGUGAAAUCCCUCGGCUUAACCGGGGAACUGCGUCUGAUACUGGAAGGCUUGAAUCCGGGAGAGGGAUGCGGAAUUCCAGGUGUAGCGGUGAAAUGCGUAGAUAUCUGGAGGAACACCGGUGGCGAAGGCGGCAUCCUGGACCGGCAUUGACGCUGAGGCGCGAAAGCCAGGGGAGCAAACGGG
rnacentral:rRNA from 1 species